ensembl:misc_RNA Metazoa_SRP Metazoan signal recognition particle RNA
GCCAGGUGUGGUGGCGCAUGCCUGUAGUCCCAGCUACUUGGGAGGCUGAGACAGGAGGAUCGCUUGGGCCCAGGAGUUCGAGGCUGUAGUGAGCUAUGAUCGCACCACUACAUUCCAGCUUGGGCAAUAGAGUGAGACUCUUUCUCUA